CAAAUUAACAGAAUGACCCCCAGCCAUAAGACAUAUACAUGUUAAUAUUAAAGAAAAGACAAAUUUUGCUAUUUAACGAACUGUUAAAGAACCUAAUACCCACACUACACCUACGCUUAGUCGAAGAAGAUUAGUCAAGCAUAAUAUUAGCAACCGGGUCUUAAUCAUGGGGCGCGAAAGGAAUUUUAAAUAAACAACUGUAAAAGCACUAAAACUUUCACGAAAACCUUUCAAACUUCCUUGAAUUACCAGAAACACGGUCAUUGUAGACAAUAUACAAUACUCGAGAACGGGACGAACAAAAUAAAAGAUUAUUUUUUGAAUAAGUGAUAACGUAGCUCAAUUCCAUGUAACCUUUGGGUACAUUUUAAAAUAUUUUUUGGCUAAUAUUAAAAGUAAUGAAAUGUUGAAAACGGAAAAUCGGGUGUUUUACAGUUAAUAAUAUCGUAUAAAUUUGGAAAUUAUUCGUGCAAAUACAUGCUAAUGACUGGCUAAAUAUUGGUUUACGAGUAUUUACAAAACGUAUAGAUCGGGCCGGUAACAAAUUGAAAACGGAAAUGGGCAGCUGGUGCAUUGUGCAAUAUUGAAGAUACUUCUAUCGCCGUAUAUUCUGUGGUAUAAUGUCUGGGAACGAUCGUAGUAAAUUUCAUGCGGGACGAAGGCUUAAACGGUGACAAGUACUUAGUGCAACAUAAGGCUGAUGCUCGGUUUCAAAAACAGGAUAGACUGAGCUUACCAGACCUGAUCAUUCUACUGCAAUGGUGCAACAAGUAUACUCAACCAGGCCAUGGAUUUAGAUCUACAGUUUAUUGUUGUUCAUAGGUACGUUAAUGCCUGCCUAAUGUAAUCGAUUAUAUUAUAGACCAGGUGAUAUACCAGGUCUUAAAUUAUAUGGUGUUAUGUACGUCACAAUACAUUAAUACAUUAAACAAUAUAUUUAUAUAUUUACAAUA